GGCCUCGUAGCUCAGACGGAUAGAGCGGGGGACUCCUAAGCCCUAGGCCGUGCGUUCGACUCGCACCGAGGCCA
rnacentral:tRNA from 1 species